UUAUAAUUAAAAAUUAAUUAAUAAAAAAUUAAAUGAUAUCAUUAAAUUAAAAUAAUUUGGCGGUAUUUUAAAUAGUUAGAGGAAUUUGUUAGUUAAAUGAUAAUCCACGAAUGGAGGGUCCUAAUAAAGUUUUUAUAUAUUGUUGUUUAAAAAUUAUUUUAAAAGAAAAAUAAUUGUAAUAUUAUAGUUAAUUUAAAUUCAAAUCAAAAUGUAGAAUUUUUAGGUUUUAAUGAAUUACAAUUUAUUAUAAUAUUAGAGUUAUUUUUUUAAUGAAAAUAAAAAUAGCGGAUUUAAAAGUAAAUUUAAAAAAAUAUUUAAAUUGAAAUAUUAAUUAAAA
rnacentral:rRNA from 1 species